rnacentral:rRNA from 1 species
AUGAAGGCGCGGCAGUUGGUGAAUGCGGUGCAGAGGUAUGGCAGAGGCGGAUUGUAUACGGUGAGUCGCAUGAAGGCCGAGGAGCAACUCUUCUACGGAUCCACGGCGGAAGCACAAGCAGCAGCAACAUCAGCGGCAUCCAGGAUGGAGGUCAUGUCGCGGUUGCCUGCGCCCAGGCUCAGAUUCGAGUCAUACCGCUCAAAGUACAAGAGGCUCGAUUUCCUGCCCUUCUAUGGAGGAGGCAGAGGCCACGAUAGCAAGCUGCUCUGCCUGGACUCUGCCGGAAGCGCCAUCCUCUGCAACGCGGACGGCCGCUCCCUCCAGCCGGUUCCCAACCUUAACGAACCUAAGGGAGUCAGCCCCGCCUCCUUCUCCAUCCCCAGGACCGACGCCAUUGACCCCAAGCGCGCUGAAGCUCUCUACGUUCUCAGCAGAUCCGCCCCCAGCCGCAACUCCUUCACCUUCGAGGUCCUCGUCUAUGGCGAGAAGACUUGGCACUGGGUUGUGCUCCCACCGCCACCGUACGUCAACGACCCACUCUAUGACUCCACAUUCAUCCAGUCCUACACGCUGCUCGGUGAUGGCUCCACCAUCUGCAUCUCCUCCCCUGAGCAUAACCCUGUCGGCACCUACUGCUUCGACACGGUUAGCCGCAAGUGGGAAAAGGCUGGUCGCUGGGCGCUGCCCUUGUACGGCAGGGCUGAGCAUGUCCCUGAGCUUUCCAACCUCUUGUUCGGCAUAGCCGACAAGAGUCCCCACUACUUGUGCGCAUUGGACCUCUCCAAUCUGGACGGGGCUCCGAAGGUGCUUAGUGACUGGCCAGAUCUCGACCCUCCUCAAGGCUGGGUGCAGAUAAGGAGCAGCCUGCUGUACCUGGGAGCGCGCAAGUUUUGCAUAACCAAAAUAUUUGACAUCGGCGACCAAGACACCGAAGAGGUCACGAGUGGCGUCGCGGCUGUGUUUACUGGGGUGGAGAUGAUCUGCGGAGCUUCUGGUAUGGAGGUGGUGCAGGAUGGAUCAUCCGAACUCCAGAUGGUCAGGCACAAGUCCUUUGUCAGCUAUGAUGGCAUCGAGUGUGUCCUCUGA